rnacentral:rRNA from 1 species
CGAACGCUGGCGGCAGGCUUAACACAUGCACGUCGAGCGCCCCGCAAGGGGAGCGGCAGACGGGUGAGUAACGCGUGGGAACGUACCUUUUGGUUCGGAACAACUCCGGGAAACUGGAGCUAAUACCGGAUAAGCCCUAACGGGGAAAGAUUUAUCGCCGAAAGAUCGGCCCGCGUCUGAUUAGCUAGUUGGUGAGGUAACGGCUCACCAAGGCGACGAUCAGUAGCUGGUCUGAGAGGAUGAUCAGCCACACUGGGACUGAGACACGGCCCAGACUCCUACGGGAGGCAGCAGUGGGGAAUAUUGGACAAUGGGCGCAAGCCUGAUCCAGCCAUGCCGCGUGAGUGAUGAAGGCCUUAGGGUUGUAAAGCUCUUUUGUCCGGGAAGAUAAUGACUGUACCGGAAGAAUAAGCCCCGGCUAACUUCGUG